AGCAGGCAUCCCCACUUUGUACUUUGGGACUGUCAAAGGUGGAAAGGAGAGGCACAAUGAAAAGGAAAGCAAGAGCCCAAAUUCGACCAUGAGUAUUGCCCUAGGGAUAAGAGAGUGGCAAACUUGAGGAAUGGCGAGGAGGAGACCUGUCAUUUCACAGUUGGGCUGGGAUUGCUUCAAGCCUGUCCGCGGCAUGUGUCUCUUGACCACUUGCCUUUCUUCCCUCCACUCCCUUUGCCCUUUAGGCACAUCAGGGUUGGCAGUGACUUUCAGGCUGAGCUCCCUGAGCUGCAGACCACACCACCGAGUGAAGAUGAAGAGCAUGCAUCCCUGGUCUGGAAGCCUUUGGAGGAAGAUGAGUCUGACAUGGGAAAACCUGACAGAGUAAGACAACUGUUGGACAUGGCCAGCGCCCGUGGCGUUUCCAGGCCAGCGGCUAACCUGGAGCUGGCCCUACACUGCCUGCACCAGGCAGGCGGCAGCCUUCUGGUAAGAAGCGGCACUCUGGGUGCCGAGAAGAGUGGACAGGGAAUUCCUAAGGCCUGGGCACUGCGAUAGCCUCUCCUGGCUGCUCUUUGUAGAGGGGGGCUAACAAGAAGUGGAAAACUUGCUGCCUGCUGUGUCUCCUCCAGCUACAGCAGGGGUGAGCCCAAAUGGCUUGAGCAGGGACAAUAUCUCUCCUGGAGGCGCUACUGGGAUGUCCCAGAGCCUACUCCCUUGUCGAUCUCCCGCACAUCUGUGUGGUCUAACACAUUCUGGGGGGAGUUGAGGGGAAAUCCCC
rnacentral:lncRNA from 1 species